UCUCCUAGGUGUUGCAUGGAGUGAAGGAAGAUCAUCAAAGAGCCCUGGUAUCCCUGGGUGGAACUGAGUGUUUUCAGCAGGACUGGACACAUAGAUUUCCAUGGAGACAACUCCUCCUGUUUAGAGUUCCAGGAUGAUUCAAAUUUCAAGGGCUUUCUAUUUGAACCGCACAACUAUCUAGCCUGGGCACUGAGCAGUCUACACAGAUGCUAACUGGAGAAGACUGUUUGCUGUCCUCAUGUGUCCCCUGUGUCCCCUUGGGUGUGUGUGAUCCUGGAGCUCUGCACCCUGGCUCAGAAGGCCUCUGCUCUUCAGCCUGCUGGUGCCCCGCUGAUGCAGGCUUCUCUGUUUAGGCACAACAUUCCCAGGUUGGGAACCAGAAACUCAGAAUGUGGCUCAGUACUCUGUGUGUGAUGAACUCCAGAUGAGCCCGAUGUGCGCAGAAGUAUGAUCACCACUGACCUAAACUGGGGUUUAACUAUGCAGUUGAGGCUGGCCUUGAACGUGCUUUGUAACUCAGGCUGGCCUCAAAAUUACAGCGAUGCUCCUGCUUCCAUCUGCUGAGUGCUGAGAUUAUAGAAAUGAGCCACCACACCUGGUUUUGCAACAGAUAAUUAUUUAAUCUACAAGGAUAAAGUGUAUGAAAGGAACAGGUUUCAGCUGGGCUCGGUUUUCAGACAGAAAUCAGAAAUUAUAAUUUAAAAUAUUGUACAAAAUCUCAAAACAAAACAAAAUAAAAC